rnacentral:rRNA from 1 species
UACGAAGGGGGCUAGCGUUGUUCGGAAUUACUGGGCGUAAAGCGCGCGCAGGUGGUCUUUCAAGUCAGUGGUGAAAGCCCGGAGCUCAACUCCGGAAAUGCCAUUGAAACUGUGAGACUUGAGGACGAGAGAGGUGAGUGGAAUUCCCAGUGUAGAGGUGAAAUUCGUAGAUAUUGGGAAGAACACCGGUGGCGAAGGCGGCUCACUGGCUCGUUUCUGACGCUCAGGCGCGAAAGCGUGGGGAUCAAACAGG